rnacentral:tRNA from 1 species
GCCGAGAUACCCAAGUGGACAACGGGGACAGACUGUAAAUCUGUUGGCUCACGCCUUCCUAGGUUCGAAUCCUAGUCUC